AUUGAACGCUGGCGGCAUGCCUUACACAUGCAAGUCGAACGGCAACAGGUCUUCGGAUGCUGACGAGUGGCGAACGGGUGAGUAAUACAUCGGAACGUGCCUAGUAGUGGGGGAUAACUACUCGAAAGAGUGGCUAAUACCGCAUGAGAUCUACGGAUGAAAGCAGGGGAUCGCAAGACCUUGUGCUACUAGAGCGGCCGAUGGCAGAUUAGGUAGUUGGUGGGAUAAAAGCUUACCAAGCCGACGAUCUGUAGCUGGUCUGAGAGGACGAUCAGCCACACUGGGACUGAGACACGGCCCAGACUCCUACGGGAGGCAGCAGUGGGGAAUUUUGGACAAUAGGCGCAAGCCUGAUCCAGCAAUGCCGCGUGCAGGAUGAAGGCCUUCGGGUUGUAAACUGCUUUUGUACGGAACGAAAAGCCCCGGGUUAAUACCCUGGGGUCAUGACGGUACCGUAAGAAUAAGCACCGGCUAACUACGUGCCAGCCGCCGCCGUAA
rnacentral:rRNA from 1 species